CUUAUAUGAGACAUUGGUUGUUUGAUGUAAAGACUUUACGUGUGACAACUCAUCCCAGAAUUCUUUAUUAACAGUAUUUUCAUUGUUAUUAGAUGAUAAAACAUGAAUAGUACUUUAUGUAUGAUAAAUUUUUUUAAAAAAUUCAUAAAUUUUUCAAAUGAGACGGACGGUCAAACGUUGGACAAGGAUACCCACGGCUACACUUAUU
rnacentral:pre_miRNA from 1 species